rnacentral:lncRNA from 1 species
AUCAUCCUUUCUGGGAGUGCUAGCUUGUGAUGAAGGCUCUGGAUGGCUGAUAGAGACUCCUUUCUUUAGAUCAAAUGGAUAUCUCCAGAUUAGAAGAUGGAUAUUUUCAAGGAGGAGAUGGUGUGGAAGAAGAAGAACAAAACUUCUUUUAUUUUUCUCUCUCACAAAACUGGAACUAGAAAAUCCUAGAAGUCCCACCCU